GACGAACGCUGGCGGCGUGCCUAAUACAUGCAAGUCGAGCGGACGGAUGGGAGCUUGCUCCCAGACCGUCAGCGGCGGACGGGUGAGUAACACGUGGGCAACCUGCCUGUAAGACUGGGAUAACUCCGGGAAACCGGGGCUAAUACCGGAUAACUCUUUCCCUCACAUGAGGGAAAGCUGAAAGAUGGCAUCUCGCUAUCACUUACAGAUGGGCCCGCGGCGCAUUAGCUAGUUGGUGAGGUAACGGCUCACCAAGGCGACGAUGCGUAGCCGACCUGAGAGGGGGAUCGGCCACACUGGGACUGAGACACGGCCAAGACUCCUACGGGAGGCAGCAGUAGGGAAUCUUCCGCAAUGGACGAAAGUCUGACGGAGCAACGCCGCGUGAGUGAUGAAGGUUUUCGGAUCGUAAAACUCUGUUGUCAGGGAAGAACAAGUACCGGAGUAACUGCCGGUACCUUGACGGUACCUGACCAGAAAGCCACGGCUAACUACGUG
rnacentral:rRNA from 1 species